CUUCAUUUACCGUUGUAUGUCAACAUCCCAUGAUGACAAAGAGAUUGUUGACAACAACAGCAAUCAUCGUUGAUUCUUCAUCUUUUGCUCAGAGAAUCAGAGAUUUACCAAAAGAUCUUCCUAGUACCAACAUAAAAAAACAUGUUUCUCAGGUAACUUAACUCUCUAAUUUUUCUAGAUCUUGAAUCUANNNNNNNNNNNNNNNNNUAUUAAUUCCCUGUGUUAAAAGUUUAAAUUUCCCUGUGUUAAAGUCUACCAGAAGACAACUAAUAAUAACGGUAGAAAUUUCGUAUUAAUAUCAUGAUAAUAAUAACAAUAAUAAUAAAUAAAAGACGACAACUUACAACUUUAUUGUAUUUGCUAGUAAUUGCCCUCUUAAAUACUCUCUCCAAAAAAUUAAUUUUUCAGAUUUAUUGAAUAAUUAAUGUAUCUAAUUUAUGAUAU
rnacentral:lncRNA from 1 species